CCAAAACAGUGCACGGUUACUAUGACAGAGUUCAAAGAUAUGAAUGUCUCUUUGGUGUGUCCUUACAUGUUUACACUUUUUGGCUCCCUGGCUGUAUUUGGAGGCAGGGUUUGCUUUAAGUGUGUGUGAUGGGAGAGGAGCACCGUGGGUCACACAGUGCCAGUGACGGACUGGCCAUGGAAAAGGCUGGCAAGAGAAACCCUGGUCACCAGGAAUUACUCCAGAACAUGUCCAGUGUGAAAUGCAUCCUGAAAACACUACACUGCUGAGCAAUUCCUCUUUAAAAAGAGGCUGCAUGCAAGGUGUCAUACUAACUGAUGUACCUGCACUAUAAUGCAUUGGCCCCUAUUUAAAUUUAUCUUUAACCUUAGCAAAGCUUUAAUGCCAGAGUGACUAUUUUGAGUCAUUUGGCUGCUUGGAAUAUUGACUGAAUCCUGUAUUGGAGCUAACUUAAGCAUGUCUAAACCAUGUUACUUUUUUCCAGUUCUCGGUGUGACUGUAUUUUGGGAUUUUGCACUGUGUUUAAAAUAUCCUCUAUGCAAUUAUAGUAGGAUAUAAACAAUGUUUUGAGUUCAGUAUAUCUUUUUAUAAGAACUGAUUAUAUGUCAUUUUUACUUAGCAUCCAUAAUGUCAAAUAAGAAGGUGAGGACAACAUUAAAGAGAUAACUGGAGAUGCCAUACAAAAUAAAGAAUAUAAGGAAGGCUUAAAGCACUGCAAGGGGUUUAUCCAAAAGCUGUCUGGGUCUGCUUUUACUGUUUAUUUCGUGCAAGAACCAGAGUCAGAAUUUGUACUCUUGAGGACACCUCCCCUGUGUACUGUACCUUGCAAGGUGGACAGGUCCCACACAAUGCCCUGGGACUUGUUACUGCUCAGCUGGAAGCAGGUGGCUGAAACACAUCAGAAACUCAUACAAAUGAAACAGGAGGAAUAA
rnacentral:lncRNA from 12 species